ACUUACUACUCGAUUUUGGGUACCUGGAAAAGACACAGCUACAGGAAGGAACACAGACGGUGUAGGCAUUUGCAAAGGGGACUUUGUUGGAAGGUUGCUACGAGUAAAUUUCAAAUGUUAGUAGGUUUUUCUUCAUGUAGAGAACCAUAGUCCUAUGGAAUAGGCUAACAAGUACUAUGGUAGACAGUAGGACUUUAGGGACAUACAAAACUUGAUCUUAUGUUAAUUUGGAGUAAUUAAGUGGAUAGGUUUGGUGAGCUUUGUUGAGCUGAAUUACCUGUUUUUGUAAAACUUUUUCUAGCAUUCUAAUGUAUAUUAAAGAUUUUUACAACAAUGCACUUAUCCACUGAUGUUUUUAUCUGCAUAUUCUAGGCAUUGUGUUGCAGCAGGAAAGCAACAGCUAACACACAUUCUCAAACACACGUUUCCAGUCCAUGGUUGAUGGGGGUCAAGGUUUGUCUUGGCAACAUUGGUUGCAAGGCAGGAAACAGUCCAGGAAUAUUAAUAAAUUGCCUCUAACAAAAACUAGAGAAUGAAAUGGUACUAUAACCAUCUUUUUGGAAAAUGCCAGUGUUUAAAAUGAAUGCACCUUGAACAUCAUGUAUAUUAUAUUUUUGGCCACAAGAUGGAGACAAAAGGCAAGGCAAUGUUGAAAUACUAACUUAAACUUAAAUCGGAAACUGCCUUUGAGUUUUAAGUGUAAUGGACAUGAUUCACCUGCAAUACUGAGAAAGGAGGUUUACAACACAUUCAACUAUGAUUAAUUAUAAGUCUCUGAAACUGUGCUUGGCAUCCUAUGUUGGAGCAUGCCUUGCGUCAAAGCUUCCAGAUUAGACUCCAAUUUGCUAUUACUCUUUACUAGAAUAAAUUACUUUAUAAAAUGCAUAGAUGAAUAAAUAAAGGAUGUAUUCAUGCCCUUUGCUCCAGUUGUACAAACCCCCCAGGAACUUCCCAAAGCAUGAAAAGAUAAAAUGAGCAAAAACCAUAAAUAAUAAAAAGAAAUAUUUUAUGUUG